rnacentral:rRNA from 1 species
CACCAGCCCCUCGAGUGGUGGGGAUGAUUAUUUGGCCUAAAGCGUCCGUAGCCGGCCGGGUAAGUUUCCCGUUAAAUCCAGCGUCUCAAGCGUUGGACUGCGGGAAAUACUGCCUGGCUAGAGAGUGGGAGAGGUGUACGGUAUUCUGGGGGUAGGGGCGAAAUCCUUUGAUCCCCGGAGGACCACCAGUGGCGAAGGCUGUACACUAGAACACGUCUGACGGUCAGGGGCGAAAGCUGGGGUAGCGAACCGGAUUAGAUACCCGGGUAGUCCCAGCUGUAAACGAUGCAUGCUAGGUGUUGGGUUGGCCACGAGCCACCCCAGUGCCGCAGGGAAGCCGUUAAGCAUGCCGCCUGGGAAGUACGAUCGCAAGAUUGAAACUUAAAGGAAUUGGCGGGGGAGCACCACCAGGCGUGAAGCCUGCGGUUU